rnacentral:rRNA from 1 species
AACAGGGAUUCCCCCAGUAACAGCGAGCGAAGCGGGAGUAGCUCGAGCAGCCAAUCUCUGGCGCGUCAGUCGCCAGCGAAUUGUGGCCGGGAGAGGCGGCUGCACCCGAGGUGUUCCGGCCGAAGUCGACCUGGAAAGGCGCGUCGGAGAGGGUGAUAACCCCGUGCUCGGUCGGAUCGUCGAGGGCCGCUGCCGUCUUCCGAGAGUCGGGUUGUUUGGGAUUGCAGCCCAAAGUGGGUGGUAAACUCCAUCUAAAGCCGAAUACAGGCACGAGACCGAUAGCGAACAAGUACCGUGAGGGAAAGGUGAAAAGCACUUUGGAAGGAGAGUUAAAGAGCCCGCGAAACCGUUAGGAGGGAAACGCAUGCAGCCGGACGGGCCCUCGUCGGGUUCAAGGGGUUGCGUGGCGCGGCCGAGGUGGGAAGCACCUUCGGGGCUUUUCCGCAGCGGUAGAGCGUUUGCGCCCCCUGCACUCUCGGCGGUGUGGGCCGACCAAGGGCGGCGGUGUAUCGGGCUAAGCGGACUGCCGGGCGAGGUACCGYCGCAGGCCUUCGGGUCGUCGGCGAACUUACAGCCGGUGGUCGUUGAAGCUCGGAGACCGCCGAGGACAGGGCGACUAUCCGUCCCCUCUGCGCAGGUCCUUCUGGGCCGGAGCCCUUCUGAGCGUUCAGUCGUCGCGCCGUGGGACUGUUCGCAGUGCCCGGUGGCGGCGUGCGGGAUCGCUCGGGAGGUGACCUGACGCCUUGCGCUGGAGUCCGUUGGUCAGUCGUCGGCUUCAUUCGA